rnacentral:sRNA from 1 species
AGCUGAACCGGGUCGACCGCCCGGGUGACGACGAGGUAGUCGCGCAGCGCGACGCUGUGCCGGUUCUC